GUCCACGCCCUAAACGAUGAGUGCCAGGUGUCGGGAAGCUUAGCUUCUCGGCGCCGCAGCUAACGCCUUAAGCACUCCGCCUGGGGAGUACGGCCGCAAGGUUAAACUCAAAGGAAUUGACGGGGCCGCACAAGCGGUGGAGCAUGUGGUUUAAUUCGACGCAACGCGCAGAACCUUACCAGGCCUUGACAUCCCGUGACCGGUGCAGAGAUGCACUUUUCCUUCGGGACGCGGAGACAGGUGCUGCAUGGCUGUCGU
rnacentral:rRNA from 1 species